CCUACGGGAGGCAGCAGUGAGGAAUAUUGGUCAAUGGACGAGAGUCUGAACCAGCCAAGUAGCGUGAAGGAUGACUGCCCUAUGGGUUGUAAACUUCUUUUAUCUGGGAAUAAAACGUUCCACGUGUGGGUUUUUGUAUGUACCAUAUGAAUAAGCAUCGGCUAACUCCGUGCCAGCAGCCGCGGUAAUACGGAGGAUCCGAGCGUUAUCCGGAUUUAUUGGGUUUAAAGGGUGCGUAGGUGGUUUGUUAAGUCAGUUGUGAAAGUUUGCGGCUCAACCAUAAAAUUGCAGUUGAAACUGGCAGUCUUGAGUACAGUAGAGGUAGGCGGAAUUCGUGGUGUAGCGGUGAAAUGCUUAGAUAUCACGAAGAACUCCGAUUGCGAAGGCAGUUCACUAAACUACAACUGACACUGAGGCUCGAAAGUGUGGGUAUCAAACAGGAUUAGAUACCCCUGUAGUC
rnacentral:rRNA from 1 species